rnacentral:rRNA from 1 species
CCUACGGGUGACAGCAGUGGGGAAUAUUGGUCAAUGGGCGCGAGCCUGAACCAGCCAAGUCGCGUGAGGGAAGACGGUCCUAUGGAUUGUAAACCUCUUUUGUCGGGGAGCAAAAGACGCCACGCGUGGCGUUCCGAGAGUACCCUACGAAAAAGCAUCGGCUAACUCCGUGCCAGCAGCCGCGGUAAUACGGAGGAUGCUAGCGUUAUCCGGAUUUAUUGGGUUUAAAGGGUGCGCAGGCGGAAGAUCAAGUCAGCGGUAAAAUUGAGAGGCUCAACCUCUUCGAGCCGUUGAAACUGGUGUGCUGGAGUGAGCGAGAAGUAGGCGGAAUGCGUGGUGUAGCGGUGAAAUGCAUAGAUAUCACGCAGAACUCCGAUUGCGAAGGCAGCAUACCGGCGUUCAACUGACGCUCAUGCACGAAAGUGUGGGUAUCGAACAGGAUUAGAUACCCGGGUAGUC